UACGUAGGUGGCAAGCGUUGUCCGGAUUUACUGGGCGUAAAGAGCGUGCAGGCGGUUUGUUAAGUGCAGGGUGAAAGCUCCCGGCUCAACUGGGAGAGGUCCUUGCAUACUGGCGAACUCGAGGGAGGCAGAGGAAAGUGGAAUUCCCGGUGUAGUGGUGAUAUGCGUAGAUAUCGGGAGGAACACCUGUGGCGAAGGCGGCUUUCUGGGCCUUACCUGACGCUGAGACGCGAAAGCGUGGGGAGCGAACCGG
rnacentral:rRNA from 1 species